rnacentral:rRNA from 1 species
GACGUAGGGCGCGAGCGUUGUCCGGAUUUAUUGGGCGUAAAGAGCGUGUAGGCGGCUUUACAGGUCCGUUGUGAAAACUCGAGGCUCAACCUCGAGACGCCGGUGGAAACCGUAAAGCUAGAGUCCGGAAGAGGAGAGUGGAAUUCCUGGUGUAGCGGUGAAAUGCGCAGAUAUCAGGAAGAACACCCGUGGCGAAGGCGGCUCUCUGGGACGGUACUGACGCUGAGACGCGAAAGCGUGGGGAGCGAACAGG